GACGAACGCUGGCGGCGUGCUUAACACAUGCAAGUCGAACGGAGAAUUUAUUUCGGUAAAUUCUUAGUGGCGAACGGGUGAGUAACGCGUGGGCAACCUGCCCUUCAGAUGGGGACAACAUCCCGAAAGGGGUGCUAAUACCGAAUACGAUCACGCUGCCGCAUGGCGGUGUGAUGAAAGAUGGCCUCUAUUUAUAAGCUAUCGCUGAAGGAUGGGCCUGCGUCUGAUUAGCUAGUUGGUGGGGUAACGGCCUACCAAGGCGAUGAGCAGUAGCCGGUAUGAGAGGAUGACCGGCCACAUUGGGACUGGGACACGGCCCAAACUCCUACGGGAGGCAGCAGUGGGGAAUAUUCCGCAAUGGACGAAAGUCUGACGGAGCAACGCCGCGUGAGUGAUGAAGGUUUUCGGACUGUAAAGCUCUGUUGUUUAGGACGAAAGUGCCUGUUGCAAAUAGUUGCAGGUAUUGACGGUACUGAACGAGGAAGCCACGGCUAACUACGUGCCAGCCGCCGCGGUAACAC
rnacentral:rRNA from 1 species